rnacentral:rRNA from 1 species
GACGAACGCUGGCGGCGUGCUUAACACAUGCAAGUCGAACGGAAAGGCCUGCUUUCCCUUGUGGAUUGCGGGUACUCGAGUGGCGAACGGGUGAGUAACACGUGAGUGAUCUGCCCCCAACUUGGGUAUAAGCCUGGGAAACUGGGUCUAAUUCCCGAUAGGACUGCAGGGUGGUGCCUGUGGUGGAAAACGAUUUUCUAGUGGUUGGGGAUGAGCUCGCGGCCUAUCAGCUUGUUGGUGGGGUAAUGGCCUACCAAGGCGGCGACGGGUAGCCGGCCUGAGAGGGUGGACGGCCACAAUGGGACUGAGAUACGGCCCAGACUCCUACGGGAGGCAGCAGUGGGGAAUAUUGCACGAUGGGCGGAAGCCUGAUGCAGCGACGCCGCGUGGGGGAUGACGGCCUUCGGGUUGUAAACUCCUUUCGACCGCGAGGAAGCCACCUGGUUGGAAGGGUGGUGACGGUAGUGGUAGAAGAAGCACCGGCUAACUACGUG